CCUACGGGUGGCAGCAGUGAGGAAUCUUGGUCAAUGGGCGCGAGCCUGAACCAGCCAAGUCGCGUGAGGGAAGACGGUCCUAUGGAUUUUAAACCUCUUUUGUCGUGGAGCAAAAGACGCCACGCGUGGCGUUCCGAGUGUACCCGAAGAAAAAGCAUCGGCAAACGCCGUGCCAGCAGCCGCGGUAAUACGGGGGAUGCGAGGGUUAUCCGGAUUGAUUGGGUUUAAGGGGAGCGCAGGGGGAAGAUAAAGUCAGCGGGAAAAUUGAGAGGCUCAACCUCUUCGAGCCGUUGAAACUGGUUUUCUUGAGUGAGCGAGAAGUAUGCGGAAUGCGUGGUGUAGCGGUGAAAUGCAUAGAUAUCACGCAGAACUCCGAUUGCGAAGGCAGCAUACCGGCGCUCAACUGACGCUCAUGCACGAAAGUGUGGGUAUCGAACAGGAUUAGAUACCCCAGUAGUC
rnacentral:rRNA from 1 species